rnacentral:rRNA from 1 species
AUACGGAGGAUCCGAGCGUUAUCCGGAUUUAUUGGGUUUAAAGGGUGCGCAGGCGGGAGAUUAAGUCGGCGGUGAAAUUUUGCAGCUCAACUGUAAAAGUGCCUUCGAAACUUGUUUCCUUGAGUGUAGAUGGAGUAGGCGGAAUUUUUGGUGUAGCGGUGAAAUGCAUAGAUAUCACGAGGAACUCCGAUUGAGCAGGCAGCUUACUAAACUAGUACUGACGCUCAGGCACGAAGGCGUGGGGAUCAAACAGGAUUAGAUACCCUGGUAGUCCACGCAGUAAACGAUGAUUACUAGCUGUUUGCGAUACAAUGUAAGCGGCUGAGCGAAAGCGUUAAGUAAUCCACCUGGGGAGUACGUUCGCAAGAAUGAAACUCAAAGGAAUUGACGGGG